GAAGUGUAACUGAGAGAAGUGAAAUACAGAUCUAAGAGGAGACAGAGAGAUUCAGGGAGGAGCUAAGAUGUUCCUGAACUAUAGAAGAGAGAGGAACUUCCAUAUUCACCAGAGUUCAACACAGACCAUCAUCAUCAUCACCUUCAUUCAACAUGCUGUCAUUAGACUAUUAUUUACAUUCCCUACUGUUAGUUUCCAUUCUAAGAGGGGUCAGCUGUGAAGAUCUCACUGCAUUACAGAAAGAAGAGUUCAGUCCAGAAGGCAGCUCUGUUACUCUGUCCUACAGAUACUCCAAACAAGCAGCUGGUGGUGAUGGUUUCUUCUGGUAUCGACAAUAUCCAGGAAAACCACCAGAGUUCAUCUCUCAUUUAGGAACUGGAAACAUUAUGUUGAAUCCAGUUUCUGGACUGUCUGCUGAAGUGAGUGAGGAUAAAACCCAGGUCUAUCUGAGCAUCUCCUCUGCUGCAUUGACAGAUUAUGCUGUGUACUACUGUGCUGUGAAGCCCACAGUGACAGGAAACACCAACACUCUGUACAAAAACCUUUGGAGCAAAGACAACACAGUACUGCACUACAUCCACCAGAGGGAGUCUCUCUCUGUUCACCUUCAGCAGGAUGUGAUGAGACAGUCUAGAUUAGAUUCUCUCAGACUCACAGCUGUGAUGAAGAGCUCCAGAAACUCAUUGGACAUCUGAGUCUCCU